CAGCGUUCCAGCAGCUCGGAGGCCGCGGCCUCUGUUUUCAUCAAAGUCUCUCAAUCUCUCUCUCUCUCUCUCUCUCUCUCUCUCUCUCUGAGAAGAAGAAGGUGUAAUGAUGAAGAUGUUUAAUCUCGUUAAUCCGAGGACUCUUUCACAAAGAAGAGUGAUAUGAGGAUACUCUCUCCAUCCAUUCUUGACAGAUUCUGAGCACCUUCUGUCUUUCUUCACUUCCCCACCUCUUUUUUCUUCACUCAUUUUUUUUCCUUUCAAUCUUUUGAAAAUUUUCUGUAUUCCGAGUCACCAGCUUUCGGAAAUGCUUCCCUCUAAUCUAUAUAUUAGUUGUAUCUCCAUUCUGUUUUUGGUGCUUUUCAAUUGAUGAAUUAAUGGGUAAUGUUGUACACACACACACACACACACACACACACAAAAGAGUAUUGAUCUGGGAAACAUUGAGGGAAUGGCUGGUAAGGUGAUAAUUCAGUGGAACUAAGGUUAUCGUUCGUUUUUAUUGUGUCUGGAAGCAAAAUAUUCAUGUAAUUUUUUUCUUUCAAAAGAUGUGCUAUCAUCCCAAAUCCAUUUGUAGCAUAUCUUUGACGUUAGAUACAACCAUCUGCUGGUUUUUGAAGUAAUGGUUCCUUUUUAUUGAAGGCUUUAGCCAUGUCCAUAUGUGCUUGAUGCCAAGCUCCAGCUAGUGGUGUUGUUAGCCCAGCAGGUGCUGUCGGUUCCACAUUCAAACUCAACUCAGCAGGAUGAUACAAGGAUGUUGAGGGCAUGGAUAUUGGUGGGUCAACUAGAGAAAGCCAUGAGCUCAACACAGGCAACUUCAAAAGUGCUCUCCACCAACAGGAAAGGGCAGUGUGGUGUGUACCCUUCCUUCCUCUUUGACGGAUUCUCUCUUUGCCUACUAUCCAACUCUUCCUUGGAUAAUUGCUCUUUGCAGGCUUCUUGUUCAUUAUGCUCUAUUUGUGAAUCUCUAUUUUUUUUUCUUUUUUUUUUGAAUUACGCACUGGGUAUCCACGUGUCCAUUUUACGGUCCACGUGACUAAUUCUGCGCCUCUUGAAGUUAACCCCACAACUUCAAAUGGAGGGUAAAUUCAGGAGUCCAGGGGCGGAAAUGAACCUGAGAGGGUUUGAACACCUUACCUCAUGAGAGGCACUCCCGCAAUCCGCACUACCACCUGAACCACACCCUGAGAGUGUGAAUCUCUAUUCUUAAUAAUAUACAAGAUUGAUAACUUAUGAAAGAAAAUGUAUUAUCAUUUUUUUAAUUAAUUUAAAUAGAAUGGAUAAGGAAUAAUCAUUCAAAAAUUUUAUCA